GGGGACGUUUCUCCGGCAUAUUCGGGCGUAAGGGCUCGCAGGCGGUUUCUUAAGUCUGAUGUGAAAGCCCCCGGCUCAACCGGGGAGGGUCAUUGGAAACUGGGAAACUUGAGUGCAGAAGAGGAGAGAGGAAUUCCACGUGUAGCGGUGAAAUGCGUAGAGAUGUGGAGGAACACCAGUGGCGAAGGCGACUCUCUGGUCUGUAACUGACGCUGAGGAGCGAAAGCGUGGGGAGCGAACAGGAUUAGAUACCCUGGUAGUCCACGCCGUAAACGAUGAGUGCUAAGUGUUAGGGGGUUUCCGCCCCUUAGUGCUGCAGCUAACGCAUUAAGCACUCCGCCUGGGGAGUACGGUCGCAAGACUGAAACUCAAAGGAAUUGACGGGGGCCCGCACAAGCGGUGGAGCAUGUGGUUUAAUUCGAAGCAACGCGAAGAACCUUACCAGGUCUUGACAUCCUCUGACAACCCUAGAGAUAGGGCUUUCCCUUCGGGGACAGAGUGACAGGUGGUGCAUGGUUGUCGUCAGCUCGUGUCGUGAGAUGUUGGGUUAAGUCCCGCAACGAGCGCAACCCUUGAUCUUAGUUGCCAGCAUUCAGUUGGGCACUCUAAGGUGACUGCCGGUGACAAACCGGAGGAAGGUGGGGAUGACGUCAAAUCAUCAUGCCCCUUAUGACCUGGGCUACACACGUGCUACAAUGGACAGAACAAAGGGCUGCGAGACCGCAAGGUUUAGCCAAUCCCACAAAUCUGUUCUCAGUUCGGAUCGCAGUCUGCAACUCGACUGCGUGAAGCUGGAAUCGCUAGUAAUCGCGGAUCACAUGCCGGGGGAAAAACCUUUCCGGGGCCUUUGUACACACCGCCCGUCACACCACGAGAGUUUGCAACACCCGAAGUCGGUGAGGUAACCUUUAUGGAGCCAGCCGCCGAAGGUGGGGCAGAUGAUUGGGUGAUUAAAAAAAAACCCCCCCACACACAACACCAAAAAGGACGAGGAGGGGGAGGGGG
rnacentral:rRNA from 1 species